rnacentral:misc_RNA from 1 species
GAUGAAGAACGUAGCGAAAUGCGAUACUUGGUGUGAAUUGCAGAAUCCCGUGAACCAUCGAGUCUUUGAACGCAAGUUGCGCCCGAAGCCAUUAGGCCGAGGGCACGCCUGCCUGGGCGUCACACGUCGUUGCCCCCCAUCUACUCCUUCGGGAUUGCGGGGGGCGAAUGAUGGCCUCCCGUGCGCCUCGUCGCGCGGUUGGCAUAAAUGCCAAGUCCUCGGCGACGCACGCCACGACAAUCGGUGGUUGCGAAACCUCGGUUGCCCGUCGUGUGCGGUCGUCGCGCAUCGAGGGCUCGAAAAAAUUGCCGGGCUCCGGCUCGGCUUUCAACGCGACCCCAGGUCAGGCGGGGUUACCCGCUGAAUUUAAGCAUAUCAAUAAGCGGAGGA